rnacentral:rRNA from 1 species
UACAGAGGUCUCAAGCGUUGUUCGGAUUCAUUGGGCGUAAAGGGUGCGUAGGCGGCGCGGUAAGUCGGGUGUGAAAUCUCGGAGCUUAACUCCGAAACUGCAUUCGAUACUGCCGUGCUUGAGGACUGGAGAGGAGAGUGGAAUUCCUGGUGUAGCGGUGAAAUGCGCAGAUAUCAGGAAGAACACCAAUGGCGAAGGCAGCUCUCUGGGACGGUACUGACGCUGAGACGCGAAAGCGUGGGGAGCGAACAGG